CCUUACUUCUCUCCAAUAUUUGAGCAUGCAUUCUUGUGAUGAUCUGCUCUACUGGCCGGAGGCAGAGUUCCGUGGCUUGAAAUCACUGAAGACGAUAUAUAUCUGGCAUUGCAAUAAGUUGGUUGGCACGUCACCUUUGCCAUUAUCCUCGUCAUCAUCAAGGGAUGGAGAGCUCCUACCAAACCUGAAAGAGCUGACUAUUGAUCAUUGUGAUGGUCUGCUGGAAUUGCCCAAGUUACCUGCUUUCCUCAAAGAACUCUAUGUUGGCUGGUGCCCCAAACUAAAUUCCUUGACAGAAGGCCUGCGACAUGCCACUUCUCUUAAGGAUGUCCGUAUUGUCGGUUGCCCAAGUCUGACUUCUCUACCGGUAGAUCUGGGGCACCAAACAGCGCUCGAGAUUCUGGUCAUUAACAGUUGCAGCAAAUUGCCAUCUCUGCCAGAAAGGAUGCAGGGCCACACUGCCCUUUGGUAUCUGUCUAUUGGGCAAUGCCCUCUGCUUUCAUCACUCCCAGAAGGUAUGCAGGGCCUCACUGCCCUUCAGCGUUUGUCUAUUACGCAAUGCCCUCUGCUUUCAUCACUCCCAGAAGGUCUACAACAACGACUCCCCGGCCUUCAGUAUCUUGAGAUUGAAGGGUGCCCCGACCUGGAGAGACUGUGUAAGAGAGGAGGACCGUAUUGGGACCUCAUCUCACACAUCCCCAGGACUGAAAUAUUAUCUGAGAGGAGGAGCAACUUCAGCACAUUCCUUCCUUCCAUUUCUUGCUUUAGAAGACCAUCUACAGUUUAAUGUCAUCCCAAUCCUUUCGAGGUACAGUCCCAUCUCUCUCUCUCAAAUGAAAUGGAAAUUAGCGAGUACAAUUAUUUAUGUUCCUUCACAUGCUUGUUCCUGCUGAGGGAAUCUAGUGGCAAGUUUUAGAUCAGUUUGUUCAUGCUCGCCUAAGCAGUUCCUAAAGGGAAUCAAUGGCAUCUUCCUGAGAUGGUAGCCACACUACACUGUUCACAUAAACUAUUAUGAACUAAUUCAUGAUUCUCACAAGUAUUUUGCAGGGAUAAGAGGUCAAGUGGGAGCUGGAGGGAUACAUAUUGGAAUAUUUUAUUCAGCUUUUCUCAUCUUAUUUUUCUCUUGCUAUGUUAGAUGAGCAGCAAAUUUAGCUUCAGGAUGAAUCAAGAGCAUUCAUGGGACGCUAGGAAGAGAGAAGCUUAAUUCCCUUUCAGAAGAUGUUAUUUGGCGUUUAAUGUUAUGCUGAUUGUUUACUCUGAACCUUAUUUCAUUUCAUGUCCUUCAAUAUAUAAAUAUUGUAUUUGAAGAUUUUGGACAGUACUUCUGCUUUAUGAACCAAAAAUAAGUGAAAGAUAGUGAUGUUCAUUAAUUAUUUGAACAUCCACUUUGGUUUCUCUAAACAUUUUUAAGUAGCAUCAUACAACAGCUAUUUGAU